rnacentral:lncRNA from 1 species
CCGCUCGUCAGGUCUGCACACUUUAAUACCCUUCUAGAAAGGAAAUGCAGGCUGUGAGGUAAAAAUAGGGGCAGGUCACACCUCGCUAUGUGUAAAGUGAGAGGCCCCAGGGCAGUGCAGACUGAAGCAGAGUUCCUUACGUGUUUCAAUGUAGCCCACACAGUGCAGAGCACCCUCCACUCCCACAGCCUGCAGACCUGUCUGCACUCUCAGGCUACACUGUGUGAGGUUGAGCCCAGUUCCAACAGACAUACUCCACACACACCCUCAGCCUACAAAGUGCGCAGGGUAGGAGGGCUGUCAUGGGAAAUCUGGGAUACAACAUCGCAUUAUUGGGAGACUUGGUUUGGAACCUACCAGGGUGGUCGGACAAGGGCCCUAAAUAAGAACAGAACAACAGCUGAGCCCCUGACACAUCUCUGCACUCCACACCCGAGUUUGUCAGCGCUGGAAAUGAACGUGCAGACUCCUGCCCAACUUGAAUUUCAGCAAAGUCAUGCGAAGAGGCAGAUAAACCUGCACUUAGCCUCAAACGUCUGUUUUGAGAAGAUGAGACUCAGCCUUCCAGCACCAACUCUCUGACUCUCUGGGUAUUCCAGAAGGACAAUAAGCACAGUCUGAUGAGCUGCGCUGAGCUGCGCUGAGCUGUGCUGCGCUGCACUGUGCUGUGCUGUGUUGUGUUGUGUUGUGCUGUGCUGAACUGAGCAGUGUUGAGCUGAGCUGAGCUGUGUUGAGCUGAGCUGUGUUGUGCUGUGUUGAGCUGAGCUGAGCUGUGUUGAGCUGAGCUGAGCUGAGAUGAGCUGUGCUGUGCUGUCCAGGAAGCCCCUGCAGAUGCACAGAGGAAGAGUCCUGACUUCACCAUUUCAGCACCUCUCUGGUCCUUCCUCACCUCUGCCCACAAGGGCCCUGGAACAGGAGGUGAGCUGGGAAGCCCAUCCCAGUGGUGUCUCUCAGGUUCGAGACUCGGAGCUCUCCCCGAAUGAAAUUUUACAUUGGGAUUUUACCACGGUAAAAGCUGAGUAAUUACCUCAAGUAUAGUUAGUGUAGUUAUGAUCUUUUUUCCUUUUUCUCUCCCUCUUUCCACCAGUUAUUUCUAGACUUCAUCAAAGCUGUCUAUGCAUCUGUGCUGUGCAGAUACAUGCUACUCACUUGAGAAACUUUUCAAACAUUUAAUUUCUUAGGCAUUUAGCCUGGAAAAAGGGGAGAAAAACACUUGAAUUUGAAUUUUCAGGGGUUAAAACAUUUUUACUGCACGUCCUGUCUGAGUGUGUGAAGGCACGCAGGAAGGUUUUCGCGUGAAUCUCUGAAGUCGACAUGGCGAGGGACCACACGCGGCUCGGGAAACCAGCGAAGGGGGAAAAACCCGCGCUUUCAACAGGAAACAUUAAGCAUUUGACACCGUUUUAAGGAGCGUCUCCUCUCACUACCCUGUGUGUUCAGGGCGAGAGCCUGACCUUGAGUCUGAGGACUCAUAAAUUCUGAUUCAGGGCUUUAAAAACAAUAUUUUUUAAAACCAACAUUUGCCCGGAGCCCAGAGGACCGAGCUACUUCACUGUCCUGUGGGAAACCGCCACCGACACCAUUACAGCUUCACUACUGAGCGGCCGGUGUGGCUCUAACUGUCGGUACCAGCCGGCCCUGCAGUUCCUGGACACGUUGAGAAAAAACUGGAUUUUUACAGUUGCCCAGAAACGCAACUAAGUUACCAAGUAAAAAUAGCACCGAACUGACACCGCAGCUUUAUCGCUGACUGGGGGCUGGCAGUAGAAUAGGCUCAUAUAGUUGAAUAUGCGGAAUAAUGUUUUUUUAAAGCAUAUAAACAUAAAAUGUUUUGUUUUGUUUUUUCCGAUUUUGUAUUGGUCUACCAGUCAUUUACGGCCAUCUUUCUUUAGACGCUCAAUUUAUAUCCUUACGUCGCGUUUCAAAUGUACACAGAUUAAAUAAGUGAUCCGCUGUGCACUGUGCCUUUUACGGACGAACUCGUUAUCACAAUUUAAUUAAGACAAGUCGCAGCUUUAAAAAAAAUGUAAAAAAUUACAUAGAACUGUAAAUUAUAAAAUGGAAAAUAAUUAAUGGAGGUGCUUGUUGAGGUUCACGUAAUUAAACGGCAAAAUUAAUUUACUCAAGGUUUAAUGUUCACUUUCCACAUUCAUUUAGUUCAGGAUAAGGGAAUCACUGUCCAGGUUUCCCUCAGUAGCGUAAAGGGCCGAGCGCGAAAAAUGUGUCACACUGAUGCAGCGUGAAAACCAGCAGCUUCGAUUGAUUUUUUUUAUUGCAAUCUUAUUUAUAUUUGCUUACCCCACAAAGCCUAGAGUUUCACGAACGUCAUUCUGCAAGGCGAUCAAAGAGAUUACGGCAUUAACAGGGAUCAUUAAUCAUUUAGGAGUGAAGAAAAUAAAUUAAAAGUGUAUUUUGAUAUUUUGAACAACUGUAUUGAUCUGUCGGGUGAAAGGGAUCUCGUUCACACGAAAUAAACGGACUCAACCCCGUGAAAUAAACACGAAUAAAACUAAACCCUCGGAACGAUUCCCUCGAGUGCUCCACGUCCGCGCAAUGUGGUGUAAUGUCGCCCCCUGCUGCACCACAGUGGAGAUGGAAGUAAAGUCAACGUUAUCGCUUCAAAUUAAAAGCGUCAUAGACUUAUUUAAUUUAACACGGAAGAAGGCUCCAAAGCCGAAACGUUGUGUUUCGUUUCUGCUCUCUUCAGCAGGGAAUAUACCUUCACUUGUUCCUUUACAGCCUGUGCAUGCUGAUUCAGCUCCCUACUUGAACUACCUAUUUAAUUUAAAGGAUACAAUCAGAUUGGGUGGUUUUGGAAUGCCAGAGGGUAAGUAAUUCAGAUAUUUUAAAAACGAAAACAGCCAUUUUUUUUAUUCCAGUGCCGUUGGAUUCCCAAGCCUAGCUGUCAGGUCUGCCUCCAAGGUGUGUGUCCUGUCAGCCAGCGCGUGCUUUCUGGUGUCUCCCGCACGAUCAUCCCCCCUGUCGCCCAGCACGGCAGACAAUAUCCCCUGCACCUCACCGAAAGUUUGUUUUUUUAAGCUUUUUAUUGCUGAAAAGCAGCUCAACAUUGCACUUUGCCACAAUAACGCUGCUAUGCAUCACAUCCAUCGGGAGAGUUUAUAUAGGUGGAAAAUCCUGUAAUUAUAUUACUGCAUCUUUUGACAUUUUGAGUGUUAUCGGAAUCGUGCAGGUAGAAUGUCUUUCUACCUAAUCCGCUCCAAAUACUCUGUAUAAGAAUGAUGCACAACAGAUAAAAAGACAUUUCUGUCGACUGUCCAUUUCCCGAUCUCUCGGUCCUUGGACUGAUCGGGUCAGAACCCCCAGCUCAGUCCGCAGGUGCGUGGCCCACACGCUGGCACGCUCAUCCCGGAUUCCACUCCAGAGCAGGCUGUCUGCCACCGGGCCAGGCCGUCCCACGGACCAAACCAUCAGCGUGCAUUCACAGGUCCAAACGCCUGGGCUGAAAUGCAGUUCUAAUUUCAGACUGCAUCAAGGAAGACGUGCGCGCCUGUGUGUGUGUGCGUGCGUUUCGCAGGGCUGCCUACAAGGGAUUUCAGAUCUGCAUCAGUGGGCUCACUCUGCAUGUUAACAUCGCUGGCUUUUUCUGCAGCACUAAGUACUGAAAUGUCUGCUGGGGGGAACUGGGAGUAAUUGUUAAUGCUGUCACACAGCCAUGGCAAAACACAGUCGAGACUGAGCUGUGCAUCAUAUACUGCCUCCUGCUCGACUCCACUCACCUGAAUCACACUGAGUGCACCUCGAAGAAUGUGUUCUCCCCGCGUCCUCAGCAGAAACGCAUGGCGUGGUUCUGUGGCGCCCUGCAGGUGGGAACGGAGGGGGGGUUACCAGCAGGUUUCUGGGAAAGGGAUGAGGGCGGCGAGGGCUUCGCAGCGGGAGGCAGGAUGGAAGGCGAGAGUGAAAGCCUCCUGCUGGCUGCAGUGACGAGAGCCUCUGGGCUGCCAGCCAGGGAGGAAGAGGGAAGCGCAGGAGGGAGACACAGAUGCGCGCGCGGUUGGUGAAGGUGUGGCGGACAGUCUGCUGGGCUCCUCUGGCAGCUGGGUGCAGAAGCAGCUCGCGGACACUCGCGGAGGCUCUGGUCUGCGGGCGCCCCACCUGGCUGUGAGCUGAAGGAGCUGUGCUGACACCCAGCGUGGAGCAAGAUGUUCUUGCGUUGAAGAGAAGCUGCUAAUAAUAAGAUGAAGCCUGGCUGGAUUUUGAGACGGGCAGAAAUGAGCCUCCUGCUGGCCCCUGUGCACCAGCGAGGACCCGAGUUCAAUCCACACCUGGUC